GACCGCACGGGAUAAUAGUUAUCCCGUGCGGGCGUCCUAUGUCACCCGCACGGAAUAAUAUUAUCCCGUGCGGAU
rnacentral:pre_miRNA from 11 species